GGCCUCCUGGUGCUUCCCACAGGCUGUGUUCUUCCACUGACUGUACAGACAGAGGAGGCAGAGUAAACCCACCCCAUGUACACCUCAGCCUGCACCCUUUGCCUAGUCUGUAUUGUGAAUGGAGGGACAUGG